CUCUAUGUACAAAAGAUAAAUGGUUUCCCUUGUAGACAAUCCCAUCAUUUUUGGCAUAUAUAAUUAUUUUCGUUUUUUUUUUUUUCGUUUUCUUAAUUUUUUUGAAGUUGAUACCUAGGUUGAUAGGUCUUAUACCUGAGAUUUUGGGUAUGAAAAUUAAGUCUUUUUUACCAAAGGGAGUGAACAUACAAUAUGCUGCUUAGGACCAUAUAAACUUUUGGCUAAAAAAGAAAAAGUAACUGGGAAAUCAUCUUUUUGGCUCCCUUAUCUUCUCACUAAGACCAUCUUCCCUUUGUGCUUCUUCACCAUUGAGAGGCUUUUCGCUUGAGUACCUCAUCCUUCAAUUUCCCUCCUUCCCUCCGACCUUCUCUCCUUCCCAAUUCAAUAAACAUAUAUGCUUUGUUAUGAGAUCUUGUCCUCUCUCUCCUUCUAAAUAAUCCAAACCUUAUUGCAUUUGUUUCUGUGGAGCUCUUUUUGCUGGUUCCUAUCAUCAGUUUCACUAAAUAUCUCCACCAAUUGUCCUUCUCUAUCAGCCUCAUCUACCCAUUUAUUCUCUUCACUUUUUCAGUCUAGUAAUUUACCAAAAACAUUU
rnacentral:lncRNA from 1 species